rnacentral:rRNA from 1 species
GACAGAGGUGCCGAGCGUUAGGCGGAAUCACUGGGCUUAAGCGUGUGUAGGCGGACUUCUAAGUACCUUGUGAAAUCCCACGGCUCACCCGUGGAACUGCUUGGUAUACUGGGUGUCUUGAGCCACUUAGGGGCUACCGGAACAAAUGGUGGAGCGGUGAAAUGCGUAGAUAUCAUUUGGAACGCCAAUGGUGAAAACAGGUAGCUGGGAGUGUGCUGACGCUGAGACACGAAAGCCAGGGGAGCAAACGGG